rnacentral:lncRNA from 1 species
AUGGCUGGGGUUGAUCCAGGAGAUCCAGAACUGCUCCAAGAGCUCUGGGAUCACUCCAAGAUCUCCAGAAUGGCUCCAAGGACACCUCUGGAAUGGCUGGGGUCAGUCCAGGAGAUCCAGAACUGCUCCAGGGACACCCCUGGGGUUGAUCUGGGACAUCCAGAAUUGCUCCAGGAGCUCUGGAAUCACUCCAAGAGCUCUGGAACGGCUCCAGGGACACCUCUGGAAUGGCUGGGGUCGAUCCAGGAGAUCCAGAACUGCUCCAGGAGCUCUCGAACAGCUCCAGGGACUCCUCUGGGGUCGAUCGGGGACUUCCAGAAACUCCAGGAGCUCCAGAACAGCUCCAAGGGCUCCUCCAGAAUUGCUCCAGGAGCUCUGGAGCAGCUCCAAGGACACCUCUGGAAUGGCUGGGGUCGAUCCAGGAGAUCCAGAACCACCCCAAGAGCUCCGGAGUGGCUCCAGGGACUCCUCUGGGGUUGCUGCAGGAGCUCCAGGCUUGUUCCAGGAGCUCUGGGAUUGCUCCGAGGACAGUUCUGGAGCUGUCCCGACACCCCUGGAGCUGCUCCAGCCCCUCCGGAACGGCUCCAAGUAAUUCUCGAGGAAUUCCAACCCCUCCAGAACCUCCAGGACGGCUCCCAGGACCCCUCUGGAUCCACUCCAACCCCUCCAGAAACAUCCAGAACCUUCCGGAGCCGCUCCCAGGACCCCUCUGGAUCUGCUCCAACCCCUCCAGAACAUCUGGAGCUGCUCCAGGGACACCUUUGGGGUCAUCCCAAGGCUUCCAGGAACUUCUCCAGAACCUCCAGAACGGCACCAAGGACUCCUCUGGAUCCGUCCCAACCCCUCCAGAACCAUCCGGAACCUCCAGAACUGCUCCAGAAACACCUUUGGGGUCAUCCCAAGGCUUCCAGAACCUUUGGAACUUCUCCAGAACCUCCAGAACAGCUGCCAGGACCCCUCUGGAUCCAUCCCAAGGUUGCAGAACCUUCGGAACUCCUCCAGAACCUCCGGAACUGCUCCCAGGACCCCUCUGGAUCCGUCCCAAGGCUUCCAGAACCAUCCAGAACCUUCCGGAGCCGGCCCAGGGACUCCGGGUGGGAUUUUAAGCUUCACUCUUGGUCUAUUUUUAAGCUCAGAUGGUUUCAAAGAUAUUUUUUUAUUCUCCUCGUCCACGGACGCCCUUUCGGGGAUUUUGGUUUAUUUUGGGAAUUUCGGAUCUUCCCCCCCGACCCCCCGAGCCUGUGA